rnacentral:rRNA from 1 species
CCUACGGGUGGCAGCAGUGAGGAAUAUUGGUCAAUGGACGAGAGUCUGAACCAGCCAAGUAGCGUGAAGGAUGACUGCCCUAUGGGUUGUAAACUUCUUUUAUAUGGGAAUAAAACGUUCCACGUGUGGGAUUUUGUAUGUACCAUAUGAAUAAGGAUCGGCUAACUCCGUGCCAGCAGCCGCGGUAAUACGGAGGAUCCGAGCGUUAUCCGGAUUUAUUGGGGUUAAAGGGAGCGUAGGUGGAUUGUUAAGUCAGUUGUGAAAGUUUGCGGCUCAACCGUAAAAUUGCAGUUGAAACUGGCAGGGUUGAGUACAGGAGAGGUGGGCGGGGUGCGGGGUGUAGCGGUGGAAGG